rnacentral:lncRNA from 1 species
GCUGAAUGUAGCUCUGUUCAUCUUCCCCAGAGUAUAUUUAUUAUUAUUGUUUAUAUAUUGAACUUAAGCCCAAAAAGAGAACUUGUUUGCAAGUUUAACUACGCAGGAUGUGACUGUUACUUCCCUAUAAGCCACGUGACCUGGCUUUUUUUUUUUUUUUUAAUCUCUCCCCUCACUUCAGAAGAACUAAAUUCAGAAAAUUUGGCUGAAAUUGCUCUGUUGUCAAAACUUCACAAUGACCUCACUAACAAGCUGGAUACCAGUCCUAAUGACAUUUCUUCUUCUCUUACAUUUUUGGAGAGCAAAGGUCUAUGCUUCUGGAAACUCAGAGGAAAUAGAUUUCACGUAUCUUAUUAUAGGAGUUACUCUGGGAGCCUUUCUAGCAAUUGGUUUUAUAGUAGUAAUAAUUUGCAUGAUCAAAAAACAAAUGCUUGACCAUGUCUCCAGAGAGUCAGAUGGCAAAAUGGAUAGAAGGUCAAACGUGGGAUCAAGCCAGAACAGAGAUGACACCAAUACACCAGAACAGCAAAUUACAGCCUUCUUACAGUGAAAGCAAGAAGAAGAAAGAAGGGCAACUGCUAGACUCAACUCCAGCUUGGAAAGUCUGUAUCUUAUGAAAAAGUGUGACUUGAAAAACUCAUGGAUACCAGGUGCCCCCUGUAAUAAUGUGUUAAUAAGUAAUUGACUUCCAGACUGUGAACAGCCACAAUCAGCCCCAGGUGUUAUAGGCAGAGCUGGUGCCCUGAGUCAGGGGUUUAGACUCAAAACGCUGUCAGAGCAGACAUAUCAAAAUUAUGAUUCUAUGAAGAAGAUAUUGUACUAAUUCUAAUUGAAACUGAAAUUAUUUGGAUGUAUUUUUGUUAUGCCCUUAGCAAGCCAGGUAAUUUUUCCGAAUGUACACAGGGAACCCUAUUACCUGGAUUGUAAUUUUUCUGCAUGUUUUGAACAAGAAAAUGUAAGGUUUAUUUCAGAGAAAAGUGAUCUAUUGGAAUAAUUUCCCUGGAUUCCCUAGGUGUCUGUUACCCACUUCAGUACCAGUGCAGUUCAUUAGUAGCAUUUGCUAAUGGAUAAACUAAAGCAGUAAUGUGAUACUUGCAAGUAAUUGUGCGUGUGUACAUGUGUAAGUGAAUAAACCAUCUUGUAAGGUAUCCGUUAAUUGAUUU